AGUGCUUUGAAUUCAUAUGGAGUACACUUGCUUCUCGAUUACGUUACACUUGGUAGUUCUGAUAGUAGUAAUAGUGAUAACACCAUUAAUACACAAUAUUUUAACAUAAACAAAGAAACAAAUGUAGAAAAUUUGAACCAUGUAAAUAUAAAACAAAAUGAUGUAAUACAUAAUCGGGAUAAAAUGAAACAAACCAUUACAGGAGAAAUGGCAAAAUCAAUUAGAAAUAAUAAAAAUGUAUCAACGAGUGCUGUAGUAUGGAGUACCACAGCGACUAAUAAACACGCUUAUCUGAAUUUUUGUAAAAGCAUUAUUUUUAUAUUCAAAUUGGUAAGUGAAAAAAAUGGUUAUAACACAUUUUGUAAAGUAUUUAAAGGGAAAAUUUAUAAAAAUACAAAACUUUAUAACAUUCGAAAUAAUAAAUAUGAAAUAGUAAAAAGUAUUUAUAAAGUAAAAGCAGAUAGAAGUAUAAUGAUAAACCAACUCAAUACUAAUGAUAUAGGAAUGAUAAGAGGCUUUGAAAAUAUAUUAGUAUGUGAUAUAAUGUAUGAAAAGGAAGAAAAUGAAGAAGAAGAAGAAGAAGAAGAAGAAAAAAAAAAAAAAAAAAAAGUGGAACAUUAUGUACAAGAUAAAAAAACAAAUAAAAAGGUUAUACCAACUGAAAUAAGUGAUUAUAAAUUUAGUAAAAGUAAAAAACAAAAUGAAAAAUUGAAUGAUAAAUAUUAUAAGCGUUAUGACCCAGGUGAGGAUCAACGUCAGUACCUAAAUAUGAGUGAACUUUACUACUCAAACCAGUGUGACCUACAUGAUAACAAUUAUAACCCAAAUCAUGAUUAUUCAAAUGAAAAUAUGGUUUCUUUUAAUGAAAUAUACAAAAUAAUGCAUACACAUAUCAAACAAAACGAAUUGUGGUAUUUUUUAAAAAACUAUAAAAAAAGAAUCAGUAAAAAUAUAAUUGUGUGUACUUGUACUAUUAAACCAACAGAUUCUAGAAAAGAAAAAGAGUUGAAACAAGUUUUAAAAAAUAUAUGCUUAGAAGAUAAUAGUAUAGUUUCAUAUACAAAUAAAAAUAAUCAAUUAGUUAUUGGAUCAAUUGGUAUCUUAAAUAUACAAGUUACUUUGGAUAAAAUUAAAAGUGAUUAUAACAUUGAUCUAAAAACAGAUGACGUAGAAAUAAUACAAAAAGAAUAUGUUGUAGGUCAAUAUGAAGAUACAAUUAAA
rnacentral:lncRNA from 1 species